AACCCUUGCAUUGGGACCGGUGAGCUUGUCCCUUGAUUUUAAUGGCCUUUUCCUUCGCAAUACUUAUUAGUAUUUUAAUUAGCCUUUACUGUGAAUGUAGCUCUCAAAUGCAUAUUGUCAUUCUUUCUGUCUUCUCUCUCUGAUAUUUCAGAACGAUUAUUCCAGAAAUCUGACGUAUAUCCUUUAGAAUAUCUGUCACUGAUAUUGUUAAAAACGCCAUAUUGACACGGCGGGUGUGAAGUCUUGACAGGCCUAGCAACAGUAACCUAGGGAGUAGAGGCUUAGCAAAGGGUGAAUUCACCAUAUACAAUAAUUAUAUGAUUAUUAUAUGAUUAAAAUAAAAUAACCUGACUAAAUACCUGAACACCUGAUGAGAGACAGUACAUUCUACAAAAAAACAACCAACUCCAUUUUCAACAAACAUUUUCACAAUAACAACAUUAAAUUGUUUUGUUUUUUACAACGUGUAGCUCUUGAACUGCACGUCUUCAUAUCCUGGAUUAAAAAAGUGCCCUUAAAUUCCCAACGCAGCCACCUUUACCAAAUCACCAUGCGACUGCUGCUUCAUUGUGUUCAUAAUUGUAAUCCCUUGGACCGAUGAAAGGGGCGAACUGCGCUGGUUAAUUAAAACUGCAAUCAAAUUUACCCCCUUAAACUGGCUGCAAAAAGGGACCUCAUUCAAUUAAAUCAUGCGUCACUUUUCCUUUCAAUAACACACAAACAAACAAGUGAGGGGGAUGGAGUCGCGUAAAUCCACGUGCGUGCUGAUUGCCUUCUACUGUUGGGAUUUUCUUUAAUUUGGUAAACAGUGGCUGAGGUGGCGUUUGAGGUGCCGUGGAGGAGAGUUCUGCGGAGCAAAGGGGAUUAAAGACCCUUCCACUGGCCUUCUAUUGGCACUUGUCAUGCACUUAAUUUGAUGCUGUAAUUAACUUUUGAAAUCUCAAGGCGUUUUUGCAGCAUGUGUACACAGGAUGCUUUGCAGAUAAAUGCAGAGCGGGGGCUUGAUAGGACGAAGUAGCUGACGGCUGCAGAAAGCAUUUCCUGUUUAUCUCUUCCCACUACAAAGCCUCACUUUGCACACCAGAUGUUGUCCACCUGCUACUUGGUAUCUGCCUGCUUGACUGAGAGAAUAUAAAACAGUCAAGGACCUACUUGGAAGCAGUCAAGGGUAUAAGCUUUGAUGUAUGCAUGAGGGAGGAUUUCCUGAAGACCAAAGAGGCCAUUACCCAGGGGCCAUUAGGCCUCUAGUAGAGCAUGUCAAUGAGUGCUGAGUCUUGCUCUGUUUUCACAUGCAGCCACUUUACUCUAUGGACUAAGAGCGAGGGGAGUGAGUCAUCAUCAAUCAGCAUGAAACGCUCUGACAUUUGAGCAUGAAAGUCCCAGAGUGCCUUGCGGCCCAACAUCGCUGGGUGCAAACGUGUCACCCCUACCGUGCCCUCCAGUUGGAGAUCAGAGAACAAACAGCAGUGCAGGAAAAGCCCUGGUUCCUGUUCAUAAUCCUGAGUUUGAGGAGGAGGAGGACACUGGAGAGUGGACAUGAGGAGGAGGAAGAAGAGGAAGAGGAGGUGGCCUGAUGUCUGUCUGUCUGUCUGUCGCACAAGAAUAGAAGGACCGCUUGUGACCAACAGCUGAGUCAAGUGCCACAUGAUGAGGCUGGAUAUAUACAGGACGUCAGGUGAUUGGACCUU